AUCCCCGUCGUAUGCUGUACUCCUCUUGACCUGAGAUCUACUCGAGGCAUCAUUCUGCGGCAAUAGAAAUCUCACCUUGCGAUGUUGCCUCUCGUCCUCCCAAGUCUCCUGUCUCGUGCCUGAUCCAUCUCCACCUGAAGCUCCACCUCAUUCUGGGCUCCACCUGGCUCCUGAAGCUCCACCUCAUACUGGGCUCCCUGUCAGAUAAUAAUGUCAUCUACUUUCCUUCUUCCCUUCCAGCACAAUCCUAACGCCGCAUAGCAUCCUCAGGAUUCUUCCACCAGCUACCGU
rnacentral:lncRNA from 1 species